rnacentral:ribozyme from 14 species
UUUUUUUUUUUUUUUUUUUUUUCUCUUUUCUC